AGAGUUUGAUCCUGGCUCAGGAUGAACGCUAGCUACAGGCUUAACACAUGCAAGUCGAGGGGAAACGACGAUCGAAAGCUUUGCUUUUGAUGGGCGUCGACCGGCGCACGGGUGAGUAACGCGUAUCCAACCUGCCCACCACUUGGGGAUAACCUUGCGAAAGUAAGACUAAUACCCAAUGAUAUCUCUAGAAGACAUCUGAAAGAGAUUUAAAGAUUUAUCGGUGAUGGAUGGGGAUGCGUCUGAUUAGCUUGUUGGCGGGGUAACGGCCCACCAAGGCGACGAUCAGGUAGGGGUUCUGAGAGGAACGGUCCCCCACAUUGGAACUGAGACACGGUCCAAACUCCUACGGGAGGCAGCA
rnacentral:rRNA from 1 species